ACGUAGGUGGCAAGCGUUGUCCGGAAUUACUGGGCGUAAAGGGCGCGUAGGCGGCACCUUAAGUCAGAUGUGAAAACCCAGGGCUUAACCUUGGGACUGCAUUUGAAACUGAGGAGCUAGAGUGCCGGAGAGGAAAGCGGAAUUCCUAGUGUAGCGGUGAAAUGCGUAGAUAUUAGGAGGAACACCAGUGGCGAAGGCGGCUUUCUGGACGGUAACUGACGCUGAGGCGCGAAAGCGUGGGGAGCAAACAG
rnacentral:rRNA from 1 species